rnacentral:rRNA from 1 species
CCUACGGGAGGCAGCAGUCAGGAAUAUUGGUCAAUGGGCGCGAGCCUGAACCAGCCAAGUAGCGUGAAGGAUGACUGCCCUACGGGUUGUAAACUUCUUUUAUAAAGGAAUAAAGUGAGGCACGUGUGCCUUUUUGUAUGUACUUUAUGAAUAAGGAUCGGCUAACUCCGUGCCAUCAGCCGCGGUAAUACGGAGGAUCCGAGCGUUAUCCGGAUUUAUUGGGGUUAAAGGGAGCGUAGAUGGGUUGUUAAGUCAGUUGUGAAAGUUUGCGGCUCAACCGUAAAAUUGCAAUUGAUACUGGCAGUCUUGAGUACAGUUGAGGUAGGCGGAAUUCGUGGUGUAGCGGUGAAAUGCUUAGAUAUCACGAAGAACUCCGAUUGCGAAGGCAGCUUACUAAACUGCCACUGACAUUGAUGCUCGAAAGUGUGGGUAUCAAACAGGAUUAGAUACCCCAGUAGUC